UUGUUCCAGUCCCCAUGACCCGUGUCCAAGUCAGAGUCAAGAACCCAGUACCUGUGUUUCAUUGCCCAUGAUGAGAUAUCAUUACCCGUGGGUCAUAGUCCAAAUUCUGUCUUCAUAACCUGUAUUCCCAGGUCCAAGUCCAGUCUCCAUUACCUGUGUCUAAGUCCAAACCAAGCCUAUAUUACCUGAUGUCUUGUCUUGUCCCAGUCCAGUCCCCAUUACCCUCAUUUCCUAGCCCAUGAUGAGAACCCGUGUGUCCCCAGUACAAGUCCAACCCCACUUUCCUGUGUCCUUGUCCAUUCCCGACCCCAUUAACUGUAUCUAAGCCCAAGUCGAGUCCCCACCACCUGUGAGUUCACGUUCAACAGGCUAUUGUUUUAUUAUCCUUUUUAUUUAUUGUGUGAUUUUUAAGAUAAUAUCUAUAUAGUUAAUAGAUAAUAUUUUUAUUAAUGGAAACACAGUUCCUCUCACACUCCAAAUUUGACAGCAUGAACCUUGACUGACUGUUCAGAACAUUUUGAGUGUGUAGAAAACAUUUUUUUUAAUCAACAUUAAAUUUUAGAAAAUCCCGCUGGCAUGCCUGGAGGUUUCAAUAAUCAAUGAAGUUACAGCAUUUUCACAUCAUCCACCAGAUAACUCUAGUACCUCAUUUACUUCAUGGGGUGCGGUAGAUGAUUGUUUUACAUGCCCAACAUGAUGCUCUGCUUAAGCCCACAAUUACUGUACUACUGCUGGAAGCAAAACGAACGAUGCGUUCCUUUUAUCCUCGCAGGAACUGGAGCUGAAUACGACGGCUCGUGAAUGCACAUGCAAGUAAACACACUUGCCAGCCAACAUUCCAAGAUGAGUGUACUAUCAGGGCCCUGAAUUGAAAAACAAAAAAAGUUCAUUAAAAUAAAAAUGAUAAAUAUGUCUGAGUCCUCCUCACCAUCUGUUGAGUCCUAAUGCAGUUAAAGUCUGAGCGCAAAAUGUGAUUUCUGAGACUCUAUUUUCAUUGAUUAAGACGAACUUCAUGUCUGCAUGCUGCAAACUCACAAUGAAACAACUCAAGAUCCAAACUUAGAAGUCACAGGGUCUCGGUUUGUGUGGACUUUCCACCCCAAAGUGAGACACUCUUAGAACUGAUGCAACAAGUCACCCGGUCUAGACCAAAGCUUGUACAAGAAGCUGGAUAUGUGCCAGUUUACUAAAGCUCCUGUGAGGAGUUUUUGAAAGGCUAUGAGAUGGGCUUAAAUGAACAGUAAUGCAAUUCUAUUAAGUACAAAGGUUAUGGGACUAAUGUUGAUAGAAUUGACAGUGUCUAUCCUAUCAUUUUUAAUGCCUAUAUGUGCUGUGAGGGGGUAGGUAUGCUAAAAAAAAACAGCUGUAGUUACUUUACCUACAGCAAAAUAUUCAAGAGGCGCCAUAUGUUUAAUUAUAAAAAGACAAAAGUUUUUCUUUUUUGGUCAGUUCAUAACACCUGCAGACAAAAUCAUCAAUAAUGGGAGUUACCAUUUUGUCCACAGGGGGGCGCCAAAGUCAACAGAGACUGAAAGUUCCUUACAGCACCUUUAAAUUAACCGACAAACCUCUAGCUGUGACAUCUGUUUAAUAACGCAUCAUGCAAAAAAAAGAAGAAAAAAAAACAUCUUAAAUAGUUAUUUUCUGGAUUAACUUCGAGGUCUGGAGCUGACUUGAUGUGACCUGUUCAUAAAAUUGAAAGAUUAUAAUUGUGUGACUGAUAAUUAUUAGCUCUCUAAAUCAGCCCACAUGCUUCGACAAUGAUAUCACAGAGUAAUUAGACUCUUAGUUUUAAGGGCCCGAUGGUGAUGGAAUGAUUAAUGCUUUAGGAGGCAGAGGUUAAAGUCCUCCGUCCCUCUCACUUUUUGUUUUAAUGCCUCUGAUGCUUUGAGCAGACCACAGCAGGCUCCAAAUGGAAGCAGAGGCUUUCUCCUUUCUUCUGAUCUCACUGUGAGGUUUGAGCCCACAUGGAAAGUGUGCGACUGCUGGCUCCCUGUCACAUCCCUCUGCCCCUAAUUAUUCCCACAAUCUCCCCCUCCUCUUCUGCCAUCUUGUGUUCAUUUUCAUAAUCUCUUUGAGAGGAUGUGAUUAAGAAUAAAGAGUAGUAGCUGAUGGCAGGAAUUAGUGGAGGGGAUAUAAUGCAAAAAUGUGUCUGAGGCUGAGCCAAUUCGGCUGCUUAGUAUUCCGCUCGGCUCCUCACUUCAGUAGUACAGCUCACUUUGAGAUAAGAGAGCAGCUGACUGCUCGGGAGCUGCCAAGAUACCAUGUUCUUUAUUACAAGGGGGAUGAGGAGUUUUUGGAGCAGAGCCUCGACCAACUGCUCAGCAAAAUCAUCACCAGCAUAAUCAUACUUCCUUAUGAGGGGUACAGGGGUAAUUUCUUGGCUGCAGGUGGAAAGAGGAGGUUGUUCACAUGCUGAACUUUGCAGGCUCCCAACGUUUUAUAUAUUGAUGUGAUGUUUGACCUACAAAGUUACUGUGCUGUUUCUUUUUUACAUUUAUUAGAUUUACAGUGCUGCAGAGGCUUUAAUGUUGGUUUCUUUAUAUGAACAACACUGUGAAAUACUGCUUUUAAUAUUUUUGUUAUCCUCAUAUUUCAUAUUUGACGGAGAUUUUUCAUGUUUCCCUUAUUUCAAUGUAUCUGAUAGCUUGACCUAGUUAAGACUUUUCCUGAAGUUAUUCAAUAAACGAAAACGUGAGAGUGGUUAUAAUCCUCCAAUAGAAGUCGUCCUGCUCAGCUUCAGCUAUAAGUCUCAGGAGACAUCAACAGGUGGCUAAGUUUGUUGAAUGGUAAGAAAUGUACGACUUUGAAGGUAACUACUGGAUUAAACAUGCAAUAACUGGGCUAACUGGCCACUCUGCAGGUACUGGGUUUGACGUUCUCAUCUGACACACAGCGAGAGAGCAGAGUAAACUCACUUUUAAGACAGAGUCCGACUAGUCCGUUCACAGAGUGCAGGAUUUCAUACUAGGGCUGGGUGAUAUGGCCUCAAAUCAAU
rnacentral:lncRNA from 1 species